rnacentral:tRNA from 1 species
UAGCUCAGUCAGUUGAGCGUGGUGCUAACAAUACUAAAGUCACGGGUUCGAUUCCCGU